CUACGGGUGGCUCCAGUGGGGAAUUUUGCGCAAUGGGGGGAACCCUGACGCAGCAAUACCGCGUGAGUGAAGAAGGCCUUUGGGUCGUAAAGCUCUUUUCUGAAGGAAGAUAGUGACGGUACUUCAGGAAUAAGCACCGGCUAACUCCGUGCCAGCAGCCGCGGUAAUACGGAGGGUGCGAGCGUUGUUCGGAUUUACUGGGCGUAAAGGGCACGUAGGCGGCCUGGCAAGUUAAGGGUGAAAUCCCGGGGCUUAACUCCGGAACUGCUCUUAAAACUGCCAAGCUAGAGAUAGUCAGAGGCGGGUGGAAUUCCUGGUGUAGAGGUGAAAUUCGUAGAUAUCAGGAGGAACACCGGUGGCGAAGGCGGCCCGCUGGGGCUAUUCUGACGCUAAGGUGCGAAAGCGUGGGGAGCGAACGGGAUUAGAUACCCCUGUAGUC
rnacentral:rRNA from 1 species